rnacentral:rRNA from 1 species
AUCCUGGUGGCGAGUGGCGAACGGGUGAGUAAUAUAUCGGAACGUGCCCAGUCGUGGGGGAUAACGUAGCGAAAGCUACGCUAAUACCGCAUACGAUCUACGGAUGAAAGCGGGGGACUCGUAAGAGCCUCGCGCGAUUGGAGCGGCCGAUAUCAGAUUAGGUUGUUGGUGAGGUAAAAGCUCACCAAGCCUGCGAUCUGUAGCUGGUCUGAGAGGACGACCAGCCACACUGGAACUGAGACACGGUCCAGACUCCUACGGGAGGCAGCAGUGGGGAAUUUUGGACAAUGGACGCAAGUCUGAUCCAGCAAUGCCGCGUGCAGGACGAAGGCCUUCGGGUUGUAAACUGCUUUUGUACGGAACGAAACGGUCUCCUUUAAUACGGAGGGCUAAUGACGGUACCGUAAGAAUAAGCACCGGCUAACUACGUGCCAGCAGCCGCGGUAAUACGUAGGGUGCGAGCGUUAAUCGGAAUUACUGGGCGUAAAGCGUGCGCAGGCGGUUAUAUAAGUCAGAUGUGAAAUCCCCGGGCUCAACCUGGGACCUGCAUUUGAGACUGUAUAGCUAGAGUACGGUAGAGGGGGAUGGAAUUCCGCGUGUAGCAGUGAAAUGCGUAGAUAUGCGGAGGAACACCGAUGGCGAAAGCAAUCCCCUGGACCUGUACUGACGCUCAUGCACGA